AGAAGACCCAGGAGGCCAUUGACAUCAUACAAAGAUUGUUUUCACCAUGAACUCUCUUCCUGUGACAUGUCACAUCCUCGGAGCAGAGAUAGCCUUCCUGGAAGAAAGCGGUGUUUUCUGAGUAACUGGAGUCCGCAGCCCAGAGGAAGAAGGGAUGAAGGACACAGAGAGAGAGAAGAAGAAGAAGCCCUUUCAUCCUCAGGUCCUAACAGCAUCAUCAAACAGGGUGGCGCAGUGGUUCAGAAUCCGCCUGCCAGUGCAGGGGACACAGGUUCGAUUCCUGCCCCAGGAGGAUCCCACAUGUCUUGGAGCAACUAAGCCCGUGAGCCACAACUACUGGAGCCUGUGCUCCUCAACAAGAGGAGCCACCCCAGUGAGGAGCCACGCACCACAAUGAAGAGUAGCCCCCACUUACCACAACUAGAGAAAGCCUGCACGUAGCAACGAAGACCCAACGACAGCCAA